rnacentral:rRNA from 1 species
CCGGGACGCACCGGGGUGAGUAACACGUGAGUGACCUGCCUUUUAGACUGGAACAACUUACCGAAAGGUGAGCUAAUGCCGGAUGAGUUAUAUAAGUGCAUGGUUUAUAUAGGAAAAGUUGGGGAGACCUGACGCUGAAAGAUGGACUCGCGUCCCAUUAGCUAGUUGGUAGGGUAAUGGCCUACCAAGGCGACGAUGGGUAGCCGGCCUGAGAGGGUGGCCGGCCACACUGGGACUGAGACACGGCCCAAACUCCUACGGAAGGCAGCAG